rnacentral:tRNA from 1 species
GGUGAAAUAGCUCAGUGUUAGAGCAUGUGCUUAGCAUGCAUGAGGUCCUGGGUUCAAUCCCCCGUAUCUCCA